UACGUAGGGUGCGAGCGUUAAUCGGAAUUACUGGGCGUAAAGCGUGCGCAGGCGGUUUUGUAAGCCAGAUGUGAAAUCCCCGGGCUUAACCUGGGAGUGGCAUUUGGGACUGCAAGGCUGGAGUGCGGCAGAGGAGACUGGAAUUCCUGGUGUAGCAGUGAAAUGCGUAGAUAUAUGGAGGAAUACCAGUGGCGAAGGCGGCCUCCUGGCUCGAUACUGACGCUGAGGUGCGAAAGCGUGGGGAUCAAACAGG
rnacentral:rRNA from 1 species